GGGAACUGCGUUNUGAACUGGGUGGCUAGAGUAUGUCAGAGGGGGGUAGAAUUCCACGUGUAGCAGUGAAAUGCGUAGAGAUGUGGAGGAAUACCGAUGGCGAAGGCAGCCCCCUGGGAUAAUACUGACGUUCAUGCUCGAAAGCGUGGGUAGCAANCAGGAUUAGAUACCCUGGUAGUCCACGCCCUAAACGAUGUCGAUUAGCUGUUGGGCAGCUUGACUGCUUAGUAGCAUAGCUAACGCGUGAAAUCGACCGCCUGGGGAGUACGGUCGCAAGAUUAAAACUCAAAGGAAUUGACGGGGACCCGCACAAGCGGUGGAUGAUGUGGAUUAAUUCGAUGCAACGCGAAGAACCUUACCUGGUCUUGACAUGUACGGAACCUUCCAGAGACGGAAGGGUGCCUUCGGGAACCGUAACACAGGCGCUGCAUGGCUGUCGUCAGCUCGUGUCGUGAGAUGUUGGGUUAAGUCCCGCAACGAGCGCAACCCUUGUCAUUAGUUGCCAUCAUUCAGUUGGGCACUCUAAUGAGACUGCCGGUGACAAACCGGAGGAAGGUGGGGAUGACGUCAAGUCCUCAUGGCCCUUAUGACCAGGGCUUCACACGUCAUACAAUGGUCGGUACAAAGGGUAGCCAAGCCGCGAGGCGGAGCCAAUCUCAUAAAACCGAUCGUAGUCCGGAUUGCACUCUGCAACUCGAGUGCAUGAAGUCGGAAUCGCUAGUAAUCGCAGGUCAGCAUACUGCGGUGAAUACGUUCCCGGGUCUUGUACA
rnacentral:rRNA from 1 species